GGGACUGCUGGGUCUGCCCAUAGGCUUGUUGGGUGGCUGGAGGCUUCUGAGUUUGAGGUGCUCCAUAACUCGAGACAUACCCUGAAGGCGGUUGAGACCCGUACCCAGUUUGUGAAGUUGGUGGCACACCAUAACCCGGCUGAGUUGGCAUCUGGGAUGGGUAGGCAGAAUUAGGACUGGGCUGCUGGCUAGUGUAUCCUUGCUGUCCUGGAGCACUUGAAGGAGGUGCUUGAUUGCCAUCACCUUGAGCCCCAUAAGAUGGAGUUUGCCCAUCCGGUGUUGCGUUAGCAACAUUAGAAUAUCCUGAUGUAGUAUUAUAUGCUUGUUGCUGAUCAUAAACUGGCUGUGGCUGACUAUACCCAGUUUGAGGAGCAGGUGCAUGAUACCCACCAUAGCCAUCUUGGGUGUAACUCUGACCUUGUUGACUGUAACCAGAGACCGCUUGUUGACCGUAAGCAUAGCCAGAAAUAUCUGCAGAGCCAGGAGCGCCAGGUGCCUGCUGUGGCGGAGCUGGCUGCUGACUGUAGUAAUCAUAGGCACCUACUUGAGUAGUCUGCUGAUUAGUUGCAGCAGCAUUGUGGUCCCAGCCCGUACCAUAUCCACCAGAACCAGGUUGUGAAGGAUACCCAGCAUAUUGUGGUUGAGUCAUAUUAUACUGUGGUGUUUGUCCAGAAUAACCUCCAGGCUGAACAUAUCCAUAAGCAGGAGGUCGGGCCUGAUAACCUUGAUGAGAAUAUCCUGUUGCUGCAGGGUUUCGAAGACGGUUCUGCACAAAGUUGUCAUCUCAAAUGAACCAAAUGAUCUAAUCCAGUAAUCCAGUUUACCAUGGGAAAUACAAACGAAAAGAAAAGAAAAAAUCAUUUAUGCACUCAUAGCUAGCUAAAAACAUGCCCGAAAAACAAAAUAAUAACACAGAACAGCUUACCAUAUUAAGUACAAGAGAUAAUACAAAAUUGUAUCAAGUGCAAUUAAGUAGGUACCCACAUACCCGUACUUGUCGAGAGGUACUAUUGCUAUGCGAGCAGUCCCAUCCUCUCCCUAUUCGAAGUGAAUGGGUACAAAAGAAAGUUUGCCCCGGGAGAGAAUAUAUGAUACACGAGAUUGUACAAAACAAAGCAUAUGCAAUAUCUCAUUCAAAUGACAAAUUGAAAACAGCAUGAAUAUAUUAAGCAAACAACCCAGGGAAAAAACGAGUAGAAAGUAAGCAAAUAUAAAAUCAAAAUUAUGAGAAGACAAGGCACGAUUCGUCUCUUAAAAAUUUGAAGGCCAGUGAACAAUAGUUUUAUCAAAAAAUAAUUUGGCAAGUUCAAACCGAAAAACUAAAUUUUGAUAAAAACCUAGAAAAAGUUCAAGCCCUGUUUUUGAAGAGAAAUUUUAGACACUGGCACAGCAUGUAAACUCAAUUUCGAUACUUGAAAAAGGUCCAACACCUUGUAUACACUUGAUCCAAAAAAUGGUAUCCAGUGCCCCUCCAUGCUCACAAGUAUGGAAUUACCAGCAUAAAUAUCAGAUGUCCAAAAUUAGAUAUAUAAUAUAUUCAAUACAUAAUGUAAAUGCAUAGUCUUAAUUGCCAGGAUUACUAAUCAUUAUAGUGUCAACACAUAGAACUGAUGAAGUUUGGCCUCACAACUUAAAGUCCAGCACUUAUCACAGAUAUCAAAGUUUAUCACUGUAUACUCAAAACCUGGUGUCAACAACUAGAGCUCUUGACCAAUCCUCAACUAUAUCACCAAUUCAUCGCCCAGCUGUUAUAAUUAGAGACACCAGCCAGAAAAAUUAUGUGCACGCUGCCAAAUGGCCCUGCAGGGGGAGUCCGAAUAUAUACACACACUAUCCAUCUAUCACAGGUAUACACAUUUAUAAACAUUACAAUCAAAAUUAUGGUCCCAUUUCAUUUAUGUAAAAUGCUUCCUAAAGCACAUUUGAAGCAAACUACUCUAUCAGGAAAAAAUGCCAGUUCCAAUAAAGGAUAAAUAGCUUUAAUAGAUGAUUUUAUUACAGAUAACAUACCCAGCCGUGUACUAAAUACUAAAUCACUCACAAUAUGAUUCAUCAUCCUUUGAUCUGAGCUCAUUGCACAAAUAAGCAGUGUCGAAAAACACAAUAUAUAUUCAGCUGUAAGAGCCUGAACAGGCUUGAUGACAAGAUGAAAGAAGUAAGAUGAGCAAAAACAGAAGGAUCCAUACAUAAACUGGGGAACAAGAAGAUGGAUAAUAACUUGAACCAAAGCAAUGAAUACAAACAGUAAUAUUAUUAAUUAAUAAGCAUCAUUCACAUGCAUAUAAACACAGAAAAUAUACAUGUACAUUGCUCAAAAAUAUUAUAAGGAUUAAAUGAGAUAUUGACAAAAAACUUUGACAAGGUGAAUGUAAUUAAUAGAGAUGAUUAAAGGGAACAUAAAAAAAAUACAAAUUGAACACAAUAAGCAACUGUAACUACAAAUCAAUUUGAUAUCACAUACAGCCGUAUUUCUUUGCAUACAUACACAUACCUC
rnacentral:lncRNA from 1 species